rnacentral:rRNA from 1 species
AUUGAACGCUGGCGGCAUGCCUUACACAUGCAAGUCGAACGGUAACGGGCCUUCGGGUGCCGACGAGUGGCGAACGGGUGAGUAAUACAUCGGAACGUGCCCGAUCGUGGGGGAUAACGAGGCGAAAGCUUUGCUAAUACCGCAUACGAUCUACGGAUGAAAGCAGGGGACCGCAAGGCCUUGCGCGGACGGAGCGGCCGAUGGCAGAUUAGGUAGUUGGUGGGAUAAAAGCUUACCAAGCCGACGAUCUGUAGCUGGUCUGAGAGGAUAUCAGCCACACUGGGACUGAGACACGGCCCAGACUCCUACGGGAGGCAGCAGUGGGGAAUUUUGGACAAUGGGCGCAAGCCUGAUCCAGCCAUGCCGCGUGCAGGAUGAAGGCCUUCGGGUUGUAAACUGCUUUUGUACGGAACGAAAAGCCUUCUUUUAAUACAGGAGGGUCAUGACGGUACCGUAAGAAUAAGCACCGGCUAACUACGUG